rnacentral:rRNA from 1 species
GACUCCGUGAAGCUGGAUUCGCUAGUAAUCGCGCAUCAGCCAUGGCGCGGUGAAUACGUUCCCGGGCCUUGUACACACCGCCCGUCAAGCCAUGGGAGCCGGGGGUGCUUGAAGUGCGUCGCCGCAAGGCGCGCCCUAGAGCAAAACCGGUGACUGGGGCUAAGUCGUAACAAGGUAGC